ensembl:lncRNA
CUGUAUACAGGGUCAGCAUACUGUAUACAGGGUCAGCAUACUGUCUACAGGGUCAGCAUACUGUAUACAGGGUCAGCAUACUGUCUACAGGGUCAGCAUACUGUCUACAGGGUCAGCAUACUGUAUACAGGGUCAGCAUACUGUCUACAGGGUCAGCAUACUGUCUACAGGGUCAGCAUACUGUCUACAGGGUCAGCAUACUGUCUACAGGGUCAGCAUACUGUCUACAGGGUCAGCAUACUGUAUACAGGGUCAGCAUACUGUAUACAGGGUCAGCAUACUGUCUACAGGGUCAGCAUACUGUAUACAGGGUCAGCAUACUAUAUACAGGGUCAGCAUGCUAUAUACAACCUGUAUGAUCCUGUAGGGUUAGUUAUGGUUAGUUAUGGUUAGAGACAACCUGUAUGAUCCUGUAGGGUUAGUUAUGGUUAGAGACAACUUGUAUGACCCUGUAGGGUUAGUUAUGGUUAGAGACAACCUGUAUGAUCCUGUAGGGUUAGUUAGGGCUUGUUAGGGUUAGUUAGGGGUAGUUUUGGUUAGUUAGGGCUAGUUAUGGUUAGAGACAACUUGUAUUAUCCUGUAGGGUUAGUUAUGGUUAGAGACUACUUGUAUGACCCUGUAGGGUUAGUUAUGGUUAGUUAUGGUUAGAGACAACUUGUAUUAUCCUGUAGGGUUAGUUACGGUUAGAGACUACUUGUAUGACCCUGUAGGGUUAGUUAUGGUUAGAGACAACCUGUAUGAUCCUGUAGGGUUAGUUACGGUUAGAGACUAAUUGUAUGACCCUGUAGGUUUAGUUAGGGUUAGUUAGGGUUAGAGACAACUUGUAUUAUCCUGUAGGGUUAGUUACGGUUAGAGACUACUUGUAUGACCCUGUAGGUUUAGUUAGGGUUAGUUAGGGUUAGAGACAACCCUUUUUCGUUAGGAUGUUUCUGUGUAAAUAAUGGUGUUGCAUUGUGGGAUCAAUACAGUGGUGAAUAGUACUAACAAUACCUGGUAACCAGAGUUACCUGUUACAGAUAUAGUGUAUAUAGUGUAUAUUUAUAGUGUUAC